GUCUACCUGACCAGAUGUUGCUUCGGCAGGCCCGCCGCCCCGCGAGGGGCAGCCGCCGGGGGUCCUUACCGGCCCCGGGUCCGUGCCUGUCGAUGGCCCUUCUAAGACUCUUGCUUAAACGUGUCGUCUGAGUAAAACAAACAAAAUAAAAACAAAACUUUCAACAACGGAUCUCUUGGUUCUGGCAUCGAUGAAGAACGCAGCGAAAUGCGAUAAGUAAUGCGAAUUGCAGAAUCCGUGAGUCAUCGAAUCUUUGAACGCACAUUGCGCCCUCUGGUAUUCCGGGGGGCAUGCCUGUUCGAGCGUCAUUAUCACCCCUCAAGCCCGGCUUGUUGUUGGACGUCGGCGGCGGCCUUUAGUGGCGUACCGCCCGUCUCAAAGAUAAUGACGGCGUCUGUGAGGACACCUGUACACUGAGCUUUCGGGCACGUACUAGGCUGAUACUUGCAGACCCGGUCUUCGGGUUCGCUUCGGCGUUCCCAACUUUUAUACCAAGGUUGACCUCGGAUCAGGUAGGAAUACCCGCUGAACUUAAGCAUAUCAAUAAGCGGAGGAAAAGAAACCAACAGGGAUUGCCUUAGUAACGGCGAGUGAAGCGGCAACAGCUCAAAUUUGAAAUCUGGCCUCUUUGGGGUCCGAGUUGUAAUUUGGAGAGGAUGUUUCGGGUACGGUCCGGGCUUAUAUUUCUUGGAACAGAAUGUCAUAGAGGGUGAGAAUCCCGUCUGGAGUCCGGACACGGCCUAUGUGAAACUCCUUCGACGAGUCGAGUUGUUUGGGAAUGCAGCUCUAAAUGGGUGGUAAAUUUCAUCUAAAGCUAAAUAUUGGCCAGAGACCGAUAGCGCACAAGUAGAGUGAUCGAAAGAUGAAAAGCACUUUGAAAAGAGAGUUAAAAAGUACGUGAAAUUGUUGAAAGGGAAGCGCUGGCAACCAGACUUGCAUGUCGGGGUUCCCCCUUGCUUUUGCCUGGGUUACUCCCCGGCGUUCAGGCCAACAUCGGUUUCGGGGGUUGGUUAAAGGCCUUAGGAAUGUACUUACCCUCCGGGGUAAACUUAUAGCCUAGGGUGUCAUGCGACCUCCCGGGACCGAGGAACGCGCUUCGGCUCGGAUGU
rnacentral:rRNA from 1 species